AUUGAACGCUGGCGGCAGGCCUAACACAUGCAAGUCGAGCGGAUGAAGGGAGCUUGCUCCUGGAUUCAGCGGCGGACGGGUGAGUAAUGCCUGGGAAUCUGCCUGGUAGUGGGGGAUAACGUCCGGAAACGGGCGCUAAUACCGCAUACGUCCUGAGGGAGAAGGUGGGGGAUCUUCGGACCUCACGCUAUCAGAUGAGCCUAGGUCGGAUUAGCUAGUUGGUGGGGUAAAGGCCUACCAAGGCGACGAUCCGUAACUGGUCUGAGAGGAUGAUCAGUCACACUGGAACUGAGACACGGUCCAGACUCCUACGGGAGGCAGCAGUGGGGAAUAUUGGACGAUGGGCGAAAGCCUGAUCCAGCCAUGCCGCGUGUGUGAAGAAGGUCUUCGGAUUGUAAAGCACUUUAAGUUGGGAGGAAGGGCAGUAAGUUAAUACCUUGCUGUUUUGACGUUACCAACAGAAUAAGCACCGGCUAACUUCGUG
rnacentral:rRNA from 1 species